GUGUGCUGGGGGAGGGGGGAGGUAAAUGUACAUGCUCCUCUGUGUGUGUGCUGGAGGGGUAAGUGUACAUGUUCCUCUGCAUGUGUGCUGGGGGGGGUAAGUGUACAUGUUCCUCUGUGUGUGUGCUGGAGGGGUAAGUGUACAUGUUACUCUGCAUGUGUGCUGGGGGAGGUAAGUGUGCAUGGUCCUCUGCGUGUGUGCUGGGGGUGAGCUUAACACACUCCUCUGUGUAUGUGCUGGGGGGAGGGGUAAGUGUACAUGUUCCUCUGUGUGUGUGCUGGGGGGGUAAGUGUACAUGUUCCUCUGCGUGUGUGUGCUGGGGGGGUAAGUGUACAUGCUCCUCUGUGUGUGUGCUG
rnacentral:lncRNA from 1 species